rnacentral:rRNA from 1 species
UUCGAUUCUGGCUCAGGACGAACGCUGGCGGCGUGCCUAACACAUGCAAGUCGAACGGGGAGUUAGAAAUAACUCCUAGUGGCGAACGGGUGAGUAACGCGUAGACAACCAACCUUCUAGAUGGGGACAACACCGCGAAAGUGGUGCUAAUACCGAAUGACGUAUGAAAAGCGCAUGCGAAAUAUACGAAAGGUGGCCUCUGAAGAUGCUACCGCUAGAAGACGGGUCUGCGUCUGAUUAGCUAGUUGGUGGGGUAAAGGCCCACCAAGGCGACGAUCAGUAGCCGGUCUGAGAGGAUGAACGGCCACACUGGGACUGAGACACGGCCCAGACUCCUACGGGAGGCAGCAGUGGGGAAUCUUCCGCAAUGGACGAAAGUCUGACGGAGCAACGCCGCGUGAGUGAAGAAGGCCUUCGGGUCGUAAAGCUCUGUUAUUCAGGAAGAACGGUUGAUGGGUGAACAAUCCAUUGAAGUGACGGUACUGAAGGAGGAAGCCACGGCUAACUACGUGCCAGCCGCGGC